AAUAGAUACCCGGGUAGUCCACGCCGUAAACGAUGGAUGCUAGCCGUUGGUGAGCUUGCUCAUCAGUGGCGCAGCUAACGCAUUAAGCAUCCCGCCUGGGGGAGUACGGUCGCAAGAUUAAAACUCAAAGGAAUUGACGGGGGGCCCGCACAAGCGGUGGAGCAUGUGGUUCAAUUCGACGCAACGCGAAGAACCUUACCAGCUUUUGACAUGUCCUCUAUGGGCACCAGAGAUGGAGCCCUUCACUUCGGGUGGGAGGAACACAGGUGCUGCAUGGCUGUCGUCAGCUCGUGUCGUGAGAUGUUGGGUUAAGUCCCGCAACGAGCGCAACCCUCGUCCCUAGUUGCCAUCAUUCAGUUGGGCACUCUAGGGGAGACUGGCCGGGUGAUAAGCCGCGAGGAGGGUGGGGAUGACGUCAAGUCCUCAUGGCCCUUACAGGCUGGGCUACACACGUGCUACAAUGGCGGUGACGAGUGGGAAGCGAAGGCGCGAGCCGGAGCAAAUCUACAAAACGCCGU
rnacentral:rRNA from 1 species